GACGAACGCUGGCGGCGUGCCUAAUACAUGCAAGUCGAACGCAGUUGCGAACGGGGGAGUGAAGCGUAGGUAACUGCCUGGUAGCGGGGGAUAACUAUUGGAAACGAUAGCUAAUAACGCAUACUACCAGAUGGACCUGCGUUGUAUUAGCUAGUUGGUGGGGUAUCGGCUAACCAAGGCGACGAUACAUAGCCGACCUGGGAGGGUGAUCGGCGCCACUGGGACUGUGACGCGGGCCAGACUCCUACGGGAGGCAGCAGUAGGGAAUCUUCGGGAAUGGACGGAAGUCUGACCGAGCAACGCCGCGGGAGUGAAGAAGGUUUUCGGGUCGUAAAGCUCUUUUGUAAGAGAAGCGGUAUCUUACCAGAAAGGGCCGGCUAACUACGUGCCAGCAGCCGCGGUAAUAC
rnacentral:rRNA from 1 species